UUAUCUCCACAAAGUUUCAAUUUAGAAGUAAUUCUGAACAUUGCAGAAUUAUAUUCAGAAACGAACUUAAAGUCUUGGAGCCUCAGAUGAGUCCAAUCAUAUCGUGCUUUGGCAGAGUGACCAACUUCAGGUUGUCAUAUCUCUCCUAUAAGCCCUUCCACAAGAUAAGUGGAUCUUUGACUGUGAGAUAUUCAAUUUUCAAACCUUCAUC
rnacentral:lncRNA from 1 species